UGCAGCCUGCACAUCCGGACACACCCACUGACCCCCUUCCUGCCCCUAGAGUACCUGGGGUCGGAACACGUGUCUCCCCAUCUCCAGAGCUCCUGAGGGAUGUCUGCUGAAAAGAGGUUUUGAUGAAGGAGGUCUUAGAAACACACGCUUUCGGGUCCAGUUAAUAUCAGACCGAGGCCUGGGAAAUGGGAGCAGCUCCUGUGGGCGGUUGGUGGAUGUUGUUCGGACCUUUCUCAGUUACCAGGUGGUAAGCCAGCCUGUCCUCACCACACGCACCGCACUUGGCACCCACCUCUCCUGUCGCUGCACCUCAGCAGAUGCGCCCUUUGCUCCUUUCUGAGUGGACACUCAACUGGCCACUGCUGGUGUACACUGAAGUCGGCUGCUGUGGACACUGUCGUACGAGCCACUCCGCAGGCAUAGGCCUUCUUGGGUGAGUUCCGAAGGUGGACCGGCUGGACCACGUGCCACGAUGAGUUGAACGCAAUAUGAGCGCUGGGCAGCCGAGUCAACACAGUUACAGGAUUUCGCGAGACGGACACAUACUGACAAUCUACCACUGGCACUGAAUCACUCAGAGGCGUUAACUGGAGGCCCCAGCAGCUGGGGAGGUGCUUUCUCCUGAUGGAACUUUGAGUUGAAAAACCCUCUCUUCAGCUGUGCCCUGUCUGUUGUCCAGAAAAUUCAAUGAGCUCUUCACUUCAGGUAAUUUAGCUUUGUCCCUUACUCCUCGUGUGCUGCCCUGACUCCUGGGGCGUGGCCCUUCUGGCGUCUCAGCUGCUGCCUGGGUUGCACCAAGUUCCAGCACCUCCCAGUCCUGCAAGGCCUCUGCAGUCUCUGGUCAGCUCUCCCGUCGCACCUGCAACCAGAAGAGGUUCCCAGAACAGUGUGAGGUUUUGCUGUAAUAAAACUUCCUCUUGUUUUGUUCA